UACGUAGGGUGCGAGCGUUAAUCGGAAUUACUGGGCGUAAGCGUGCGCAGGCGGUUGGUUAAGUCUGAUGUGAAAGCCCCGGGCUCAACCUGGGAAUGGCAUUGGAAACUGGCUGGCUAGAGUGUGGCAGAGGGGGGUGGAAUUCCGCGUGGUAGCAGUGAAAUGCGUAGAGAUGCGGAGGAACACCGAUGGCGAAGGCAGCCCCCUGG
rnacentral:rRNA from 1 species